GAUGAAGAACGUAGCGAAAUGCGAUAAGUAAUGUGAAUUGCAGAAUUCAGUGAAUCAUCGAAUCUUUGAACGCACAUUGCGCCCGCCAUUAUUCUGGCGGGCAUGCCUGUUCGAGCGUCAUUACAACCCUCAGGCCCCCGGGCCUGGCGUUGGGGAUCGGCGGAGCCCCCCGUGGGCACACGCCGUCCCCCAAAUGCAGUGGCGGUCCCGCCGCAGCUUCCAUCGCGUAGUAGCUAACACCUCGCGACUGGAGAGCGGCGCGGCCACGCCGUAAAACACCCAACUCUUCUGAAGUUGACCUCGAAUCAGGUAGGAAUACCCGCUGAACUUAAGCAUAUCAAUAAGCGGAGGA
rnacentral:misc_RNA from 1 species